UUCCGGUUGAUCCUGCCGGAGGUCACUGCUAUCGGUGUUCGACUAAGCCAUGCGAGUCGAAUGUAGCAAUACAUGGCGAACUGCUCAGUAACACGUGGACAACCUGCCCUUAGGACGGGGAUAAACCCGGGAAACUGGGUAUAAUACCCGAUAGGUCUCGAUUGCUGGAAUGCAUCGAGAUUUAAAGCUCCGGCGCCUAAGGAUGGGUCUGCGGCCUAUCAGGUAGUAGUGGGUGUAACGUACCUACUAGCCUACGACGGGUACGGGUUGUGAGAGCAAGAGCCCGGAGAUGGAUUCUGAGACACGAAUCCAGGCCCUACGGGGUGCAGCAGGCGCGAAAACUUUACAAUGCCGGCAACGGCGAUAAGGGGACCUCGAGUGCCAGGUUACAAAUCUGGCUGUCGUAAUGCCUAAAAAGCAUUGCAUAGCAAGGGCCGGGCAAGACCGGUGCCAGCCGCCGCGGUAACACCGGCGGCUCGAGUGGUAACCGUUAUUAUUGGGUCUAAAGGGUCUGUAGCCGGCCGGAUAAGUCUCUUGGGAAAUCCAGCAGCUCAACUGUUGGGCUUUCAGGAGAUACUGUUCGGCUCGAGGCCGGGAGAGGUGAGAGGUACUUCAGGGGUAGGGGUGAAAUCUUGUAAUCCUUGAAGGACCACCAGUGGCGAAGGCGUCUCACCAGAACGGACCUGACGGCAAGGGACGAAAGCUAGGGGCACGAACCGGAUUAGAUACCCGGGUAGUCCUAGCCGUAAACGAUACUCGCUAGGUGUCGGCCACGGUGCGACCGUUGUCGGUGCCAUAGGGAAGCCGUGAAGCGAGCCACCUGGGAAGUACGGCCGCAAGGCUGAAACUUAAGGAAUUGGCGGGGCAGCAC
rnacentral:rRNA from 1 species